rnacentral:rRNA from 1 species
GAUGAACGCUGGCGGCGUGCCUAAUACAUGCAAGUCGAGCGAACAGACGAGGAGCUUGCUCCUCUGACGUUAGCGGCGGACGGGUGAGUAACACGUGGAUAACCUACCUAUAAGACUGGGAUAACUUCGGGAAACCGGAGCUAAUACCGGAUAACAUGUUGAACCGCAUGGUUCAACAGUGAAAGACGGUCUUGCUGUCACUUAUAGAUGGAUCCGCGCCGCAUUAGCUAGUUGGUAAGGUAACGGCUUACCAAGGCAACGAUGCGUAGCCGACCUGAGAGGGUGAUCGGCCACACUGGAACUGAGACACGGUCCAGACUCCUACGGGAGGCAGCAGUAGGGAAUCUUCCGCAAUGGGCGAAAGCCUGACGGAGCAACGCCGCGUGAGUGAUGAAGGUCUUCGGAUCGUAAAACUCUGUUAUUAGGGAAGAACAAAUGUGUAAGUAACCAUGCACGUCUUGACGGUACCUAAUCAGAAAGCCACGGCUAACUACGUG